rnacentral:rRNA from 1 species
UACGUAGGGCGCAAGCGCUGUCCGGAAUUAUUGGGCGUAAAGAGCUCGUAGGCGGCUUGUCACGUCGGGUGUGAAAGCCCGGGGCUUAACCCCGGGUCUGCAUUCGAUACGGGCUAGCUAGAGUGUGGUAGGGGAGAUCGGAAUUCCUGGUGUAGCGGUGAAAUGCGCAGAUAUCAGGAGGAACACCGGUGGCGAAGGCGGAUCUCUGGGCCAUUACUGACGCUGAGGAGCGAAAGCGUGGGGAGCGAACAGG